rnacentral:rRNA from 1 species
AUUGAACGCUGGCGGCAGGCCUAACACAUGCAAGUCGAGCGAGCGGCGGACGGGUGAGUAAUGUAUGGGGACUGCCCGAUAGAGGGGGAUAACUACUGGAAACGGUGGCUAAUACCGCAUACUAUCGGAUAACCCAUAUGGGAUUAGCUAGUAGGUGGGGUAAAGGCUCACCUAGGCGACGAUCUCUAGCUGGUCUGAGAGGAUGAUCAGCAACACUGGGCGUGAGACACGGACCAGAAUCAUACGGAGGCAGCAGUGGGGAUAGUUGCGCAAGAGGAGCAAGCCUGAUGCAGUCAUGCGGAUUGUAUGAAGAAGGCCUUAGGGUUGUAAAGUACUUUCAGCGGGGAGGCGUUACCCGCAGAAGAAGCACCGGCUAACUCCGUGCCAGCAGCCGCGGUAAUAC